rnacentral:rRNA from 1 species
CGCUAACCUUGAUCUAAUCCAUUCUCUGUAUGUACUUAACAAUUGACCGCGCUCCACUCCGCGUCCGCAACCUCUCUUUCAUGAUUAGCGCCCACCUCUCCACUCAAUCCCUUCCCCGGUAGGAACUUCCCCGGUAGGAAGUAGAGUAGGAACCCUCCCGCCGCUACUAGGGAUAUGCAAGCCACCGUCGGGGUCCUCGCGGACACACGAGAUGCCUGCCGUCACCACGCACACGAGCCACGGUGGGGGAGAGAGGGAGAAGUGACCAGCCAUGGCAAGGCGUCGGUCAUCCGGCGAGCGUGGAGAAAUUGGGACAGGGGGCGCCCGAUGUGGCGUCUGGUGGCGGGGCUAAGAAGGGGGCGGCAGAUCUGGCCGGAGCUGUGCACGUGGUGCGGCGAUUGUGGUCCCCGCGUGCUGCUCGUGGUAGGGACAAAGCGGCGGUCGCUGGCCUUAUCCGCUGCCCCUUUGAGGACUGCGUCGUGCAUGCCCCACCGAGUUCUACCAGGUCGCCGGCGGCACGCGCUCCCCUCACCCUGCCUGAUGCAAUCGGUGACUACCCUACCCGGUCGCCGGCAGACUAGACGGCCUGGGCGCGGGCGGUAGGCACCGCCAGCAGCCCAGCACUCCAAUCUCCGCCGACACCGUGGUCUAAAUGACGCCGCAGACGAGUCCCCUUAGAACGACCCAUCCUGGACGAUAUAAUAUGGUUCAAGCAUAAUCAUGGUGAUAUGAUUAUAUGGAGUAGAAGGGAGGAAGUUGUGUCUCAUCAGCAUUGUGUUCUGCAUCUAUAUAAAGCACAUCCAAGAAUCACUGUCCAAGGUCUCUCUUUCGAUUGAUAGCAUCGGUAGCAGGAUAUAACAUCAGGUUACAAGCCUUUGUGGUACAGGAAGGACCGAAGGAGGAAGUUGGUGAGAUACAGAGGGAAGUUGAAUUGGGACGAGGGAUAGAGAUACAACCAGCAAAUGCGCCGAGGAACAGUAAGGUGCUAUUUUCUUCACCAGUUAACUCCUUCAAGUAUGCGUUCUUGUCAUCAGUACACACAGCCUCCUAUUGCAGGUCUCUAACACUUUCGCCCAAUGGUCCGAUGCAGACUUAUACUGACAUUAUCAAGAGAAAGAAUACGUUGAUGUAGCAUAUUUGCACUGUUCAUGUACAACUGAAAGUGACUAAACUCUAUUGUUUUUUGCCCUUGCCAACUUAAUACAGUAUAGUUCCGAUUCAUCUAAAUUGAGUCAGAGAUUAAACUGACGAUUUCUUCGCAAUUGCUGCAUCAAAUCAUCUAAAAGAAACUAAAAACUUUCUUAUCCUUCUUAUCCGACUAAUAAUAUCCAUUUUCAUUUUUUUAUUAUAUACUCAUAUUUGUUGUUGGUUGUAGUCUUCUUUUCUUAACUUUUUUACACUAGAGUACCAUGCCUUUUUUUGUCCAUUGGAAAGGCUUUGUACUACUUAAUGUUAUAGGCCAGGUGUUUGUGUUUUACCCCAACUGAUAUAUGUCAUAUAUAUAUAUACCAGGAAAUAAGUUUUUUUCCUUUGUAUUAUUCUUGUGUUAUGAAGGUAUAAGAAUGGAUGAAUGGCCACAAAGAUCAAAUAGUGAUAAUUAAUUGCCAAAAAAAGCUUCAGGACAACACUAGAUAUUGUCAUGUUUCAAAACCAUAAUAUGAUUUAUUCUUGCAUUCUCAAGGUUCAGACAAGAGGCGGGCUAAUUCAAAUAAAGAAAUAGAUCCCAUGAGAAAAAACAUCUAAAACAUUGUGUACAAAGAUGUGAAUAUGUACCAAGAUGUGGGAUGAAUACGUGUUUUUUUCUUACUUCAUACCAAUUAAGCCAUUUUAUUAUUUCAUCUUUUUAGUGGAUAUAUUUCUUAUCUCCUUUUAAUAGUGACCUUUUUCUUUUUCCUAAUUUUUUUUGGAUCUUAUGCAGCAAGGUUCAACAGUUUUGUGAGGCAUAUCUUACAUAUCUGCAUAUCAGUUGGUUUCAGAUGCUCACGCUUUCACUAAAUGUACCAUCCUUUCACUGAAGUAGUUCAAGCCUAUCAAAUUUCCUUCAUUCACAACCUACAGUUAGUUGUACCUAUUGUCUGCGGUGAUCUAACUAGCUGUCAAUGUCCUUUUCAAUUUAUAAUGGCACAUUAAAUCACAUGAAUUGAAAAUGCAUGCUUACUAGCAGUCAAUGGAAGAUCUAUGAAAAGCUUGCUUUCACGGGGGCGUUUGCGCAUUGGACGAAAAAGAAGCACAUCCACAUUGUUCAUACAUGGCAGAGGAGUUGGGGGUUUAUACAAGGAGAAAGUCACAAUUCUGCUGCAAACAGAUGUAUAUAUAGCGGCAGGACUGGAGAGAUGGGAAUGCAUCACCUCGGUAGUGCUAUAGGCCCAUAGGGUUGGCGGCG